CCUACGGGUGGCAGCAGUGGGGGAUAUUGCACAAUGGGGGAAACCCUGAUGCAGCGACGCCGCGUGGGUGAAGAAGUAUUUCGGUAUGUAAAGCCCUAUCAGCAGGGAAGAAAGAAGACGGUACCUGACUAAGAAGCCCCGGCUAACUACGUGCCAGCAGCCGCGGUAAUACGUAGGGGGCGAGCGUUAUCCGGAUUCACUGGGUGUAAAGGGAGCGUAGACGGCCGUGCAAGCCAGGAGUGAAAGCCCGGGGCCCAACCCCGGGACUGCUCUUGGAACUGUGCGGCUGGAGUGCGGGAGGGGCAGGCGGAAUUCCUGGUGUAGCGGUGAAAUGCGUAGAUAGCAGGAGGAACACCGGCGGCGAAGGCGGCCUGCUGGACCGCGACUGACGUUGAGGCUCGAAAGCGUGGGGAGCGAACAGGAUUAGAUACCCUUGUAGUC
rnacentral:rRNA from 1 species